rnacentral:rRNA from 1 species
GUGGGGAAUAUUGGACAAUGGGCGAAAGCCUGAUCCAGCAAUGCCGCGUGAGUGAUGAAGGCCCUAGGGUUGUAAAGCUCUUUUACCCGGGAUGAUAAUGACAGUACCGGGAGAAUAAGCUCCGGCUAACUUCGUGCCAGCAGCCGCGGUAAUACGAGGGGAGCUAGCGUUGUUCGGAAUUACUGGGCGUAAAGCGCGCGUAGGCGGUUUUUUAAGUCAGAGGUGAAAGCCCGGGGCUCAACCCCGGAAUUGCCUUUGAAACUGGAAAACUAGAAUCUUGGAGAGGUCAGUGGAAUUCCGAGUGUAGAGGUGAAAUUCGUAGAUAUUCGGAAGAACACCAGUGGCGAAGGCGACUGACUGGACAAGUAUUGACGCUGAGGUGCGAAAGCGUGGGGAGCAAACAGGAUUAGAAACCCCGGUAGUCC